UACAGAGGGUGCGAGCGUUAAUCGGAAUUACUGGGCGUAAAGCGUGCGUAGACGGUUAUUUAAGUCGGAUGUGAAAGCCCCGGGCUCAACCUGGGAAUUGCAUUCGAGACUGAAUAGCUAGGGUGCGGUAGAGGGAAGCGGAAUUUCCGGUGUAGCGGUGAAAUGCGCAGAUAUCAGGAGGAACACCGGUGGCGAAGGCGGUUCUCUGGGCAUGAUCUGACGCUGAGGAGCGAAAGUGUGGGGAGCAAACAGG
rnacentral:rRNA from 1 species